GUAAGCUCAGGCCUGGAAAAUAUCGGCUCAUCACCUAGCUUCUUCAAGCCAAAAUGCUUUUGACCUACCUGCACACUGCUCUUUUGCUAACAACUCUCUUCCUAUCUCUCUGGGUUUCCCUAUAAAGAAGAUAGAAGGGUCUGUUUCUCCUUAAGGUUUGUAGGAACUCUAUCCCAAAAAUAAAUCCCUCCUUAACUGCAUAGCGGAACGGUUCACUGACAGCUCCCUGUCUCACUGUGGGCUGACCUUCUCCUGGCUGACUCUGCCAAGACCCUCAUAUUUUAAGGAUGAUGUCUUACUUCCCAGUUUCCACCCCACAGCCCACCUGCCUCUUCCAUUCCUCCCUCUACUCAAGCAGGAGAUCGAUGAUCUAAAUCCCUAUUUGCAGAUGGUGAGAAUGAAAGUAAUAUAAGAUAUAAAGUAAUAAGGCAUAAAGAUGGGACUACUUUUAGUAUGAAUCAUUUGAAAUUCCUUUCUCAUUGGUCAAAAAGCAGUUAAAUAUUGGCAAUUUCAGAUGAUUCACCUAACGAUUCUUUUUGCCCAAGGAGGCAAUGUGAGGUGCACAUCAGUUGCCUAAGUCAGCUAGACUCAUUGGAUGCCCUUGACUUCAACUACUGCACAUGCCUGGAUAAUUCUCAAAUAUGCAUCUCCAAUUCAGCUUCUCUUCUGACCUAUCAGACAUCCUCAUUUGGAUGUGACAAAUGUACCCCAAAUCUGUGAUGUCCAAAAUGGCAUCAUUGUUCCCCACUUCAGACCUGCUCAUUCUAUAUCCCUGUGGCAAGUGCCUCCAUUAUCCAAAGUCACCAAAUUCUACCCAAGGGAAUAUUCGUAGCUGUUCUCUCUUAAAUCCUCCGUCUCAGUUGAUAGACACAUAAGUUAAUAAUAUCUCCUUCAUCGUGUUUAAUCUCCUUUCUACCUCCCCACUGCUCUCUUCUAAAUUCUCAUAAUUUCUUACUGGCAUUCUAGUAACAACCUCCUAAUUAUUUUCUCUGCCUCCAGUUUUCUCACAUCUCCAAAGCCUGUGGAAUCCUUCAAUCAGGGACAUUUUUCUGAAACACAAAUUUGAUGAUGCUCUUCUUCUUCCAUGUCUCCUAUUGCCUUUUGGUAAAGGCCUCAUUCCUAAACACCCACAAGAAUCUUUUAUCUCAUGGUUAUCAAAGGAGGUUGGGAUCUGGCAGUAUUAUCUCUCUCUGUCUCUUUUUUAUUUUCAGACAGGGUCUCACUCUGUUGCCCAGGCUGGAGUGCAGUGGCACAAUCACAGCUCACUGCAGCCUCCACCUCCUGGGCCCAAGCUAUUCUCCUUCCUCAGCCUCCCAAGUAGUUGGAACAGCUACCUGUGUGACCUUGGGCAAGUCACUUGGCAUCUCUGUACCCCCAUUUAUACAAAGGAGAUGGACCUAAACAGCUCUGAGCAGCCAACGGAGGGAAGAAGAGAUUCCUAGAAGGCAAGAAACAAAAUGGCCAGAUUCUGGGCACUCUUGGCUGAGUUCCUCUCUAGCAACUGGCAACAGCCAGAUAGUUGCCUCCACCAAGAUCAUCCUCCCCUCUCUGGCAGAAGAAUGUUUGGCUAAAGGAGAAGUCCAACACCUCUUCCUCAGGGCAGAACAGCUCUGACAGACCAUCUCUUUUCCAGAAGUCCUCAUAAGCUUGGCUGAGGCCUUUGUUGUAAUUGCAUUACAGUUCCAUUUCUUACUAGGCCCAAUACUUUUCCCUUACCUCUUAUGGCUAUUAUUCUCAAAAGUAUGCUCUCAAUAAAC
rnacentral:lncRNA from 10 species